rnacentral:rRNA from 1 species
GACAGAGGGUGCAAACGUUGUUCGGAAUUACUGGGCGUAAAGCGCGUGUAGGCGGCCCUGCAAGUCGGAUGUGAAAUCCCACGGCUCAACCGUGGAAGUGCAUUCGAAACUGCAGGGCUAGAGUCCUGGAGAGGAAGGUGGAAUGCUUGGUGUAGAGGUGAAAUUCGUAGAUAUCAAGCGGAACACCGGUGGCGAAGGCGGCCUUCUGGACAGUGACGUGACGCUGAGACGCGAAAGCGUGG